rnacentral:pre_miRNA from 1 species
GCAGUACUCCCUCCGUCCGGAAAUACUUGUCAUCAAAAUGGACAAAAAAAGAUGUAUCUAGAACUAAAAUACAUCUAGAUACAUCUCCUUUUAUUCAUUUUGAUGACAAGUAUUUCCAGACGGAGGGAGUACUAU